CGCCUUGCCAGCCCGCUCAGAAACUUAAAGGAAUUGACGGGGGCCCGCACAAGCGGAGGAGCAUGUGGUUUAAUUCGAUGAUACGCGAGGAACCUUACCUGGGCUCGAACGUAAGAUGACUGUAGGUGAAAGCUUACAUCUCUUCGGAGCAUUUUACGAGGUGCUGCAUGGUUGUCGUCAGCUCGUGCCGUGAGGUGUCGGGUUAAGUCCCAUAACGAGCGCAACCCCUACCUUUAGUUGCCAUCAGGUUAAGCUGGGGACUCUAAAGGAACUGCCUACGCAAGUAGUGAGGAAGGCGGGGAUGACGUCAAAUCAGCACGGCCCUUACGUCCAGGGCUACACACGUGCUACAAUGGCCGAUACAGAGGGCAGCUACCUGGUGACAGGAUGCAAAUCUCCAAAGUCGGUCUCAGUUCGGAUCGGAGUCUGCAACCCGACUCCGUGAAGUUGGAUUCGCUAGUAAUCGCGCAUCAGCCAUGGCGCGGUGAAUACGUUCCCGGGCCUU
rnacentral:rRNA from 1 species